rnacentral:lncRNA from 1 species
GUUUUAUAACGGUAGAACCUACUAAUAGUAGGCAUGCAACAACUUCUUUCUAUCAUCCCUUUCUUCCAUUAAGAAAUAACAACAAAUAUUUUAAUUCUAAAAUCAUAACCACAUCUUGAUAAUUUGAUAUUGAAGAUAACAAACAAUGAACAAAGGAAGGGGAGACAAACAAAGGAUAACGAUGGAGGCAAACAAAAGAUAACUAUGAGUAGUAGUCCUAUCUUUUUACAGAUUAUCAUCACAAUUCUUAUCAACAGCGCAGAACUUAUAUAAAUUCCAUUUCCAGAUAUUUCAGAAUACAAUUACACAAACCAAAUUGCAGGCCGGUGAAGUUCAAAGCAAACCUGAAGAAACUGACGAGCGGUAUCUAUUACAAGAAACCUGCAGAAUGGAGCUCUCAAGAAAUAGUGCGAGUGUGUGCGUGAAUGGAGAAGAAGAUUGGGAUGAAAUGGAAAUUUGGAUUGAAACUUGCUGACUACUUCUUUUAUUUUGUUAAACUUAUUUUUCUUGUUUUAUCUGAAGCUUCUCUUUUGCUUCUCCUU